GACGACAUUGUGAAGAGAAAGGCCAAUGAAUCAGUAAAGCAGUACAAAUCCAUGUUUACUAUUGUAGUAAAACUAAGGAUUCUAAAAUGAACAAAUGCAGAAGUAAUAGCAAAAACACUUCUUCGGCAACGUAAUAAAUGAAUUAGCUAUCAAAAUAUCAUCCGGUAUCAUGGACAAAACACCAUUACACUUAUUUUUCUGUUUUCUUCUUCUUAGUUAUGAAAACAUACUGCAAGUUCUACAAUCUGAUGGCAGGAAAAGCAAGAACUGAAACGUGCCACACAGGAGUGCGGAAGCAAGCAAGCUGCAGUGAGCUGCUGUCUAGCUACGUGGGUCUGGAUUGUGAGAACAGCUGAAGGAAAAGUGAAGUUGGGUUUGUACCUGUGGGAAACAGAUGUCACUGACACUGAGCAGCCAGAAUGAGCGAUGUGUUCACUUAAGCAAAAUGCAAAUGCUGCUUAUGAAGGCAAUGAAACUGCUUACCAGAACAUCCCAAAGAGUUUACUUGGAAUUAAAAGAUCACACAAGCACCUGGAAGAGCCUGACGCAGAGUUAUUUUAAUUGAUGAAAAUCCUGGUUUUGUUAGCAUCCCACAUCUGCAGGUGACUUGGAAACUCAGCUGUGCUUUUACAAGAUGCUCCUUUGAAAAGAAGCACUGCAGGCGAAGUCAUCAGUGGAGCUCACAUUCCAUUGUGUCUGCAUGUUUAAGUGAACUAACCAUCUGCUGACUAUUGGAAAUGAGUCCUCCAAACAUACUUGAAGAGUCAGAGAUCUCAAGGGGAUGAUAUCAUUAGACAAACCACAUCCCAGGGCCUGACCUGAUGAUGUUGAUGGUCUAAAGAGACCAAAGGAAACAAAACAAAAGCAACUGAUUCUUGAAUUAAAUGUACUAUGUGGGUAAGAUUUGCUGAUUCCUCUGAUUCUGACUUCGCCAGAAGAAACAGCCUCAUUGCAACAGUGCCACCUGCUGAAAAAAAGAAACGGUUUUCUGAGUGUUCAAGUCCUGAGACAGGGCUUGUAUUUUGAUGCCUUCCAAAUGUUGCUUAACUUAAGAUUAAAUCUAAACUAUCAAGAGAUUGGGUUGGUUAAAUAAUGAAGACUGGGGUGAAGACUUGAGCAUUUCUGCAGGGAACAGUUGGUUGGGAAAGCAGACCUGCGGGGGAGUAACACUGAGUGGCCCUAGGGCUGUCUGAGGAGUUCUCCCCUUGAAAGCACUUUAGGUUUUCACUCUUCAUUCAGAGAACAAAGAGUUCAGAGUGUGGUCAGGUGCUAUCCUACUAGAUAGCAUACAAUAGCCAACUGGACAAAUGGGGGUAGGUAAUGCCCAGGGUCUCAACCUCACCGACCCUGCCAGAGCCACCCAACCCAAGAUCUCAUGGCUUAUUUUCCUUUCAUCUUUAUAAUGUGGUUCCUUAUAAACUUUAACUUG